ensembl:snRNA U6 U6 spliceosomal RNA
AAAAAUUAUGUUUGCUUUGACAAGUAAAAUUGGAAUGAUAUAGGGAAGCUAAACAUGGCCCCUGUGCAAGGAUGGCAUGCAAAUUUGUGAAGCGUUCCAUAUUUUU